rnacentral:piRNA from 4 species
GUAAUGGUUAGCACUCUGGACUCUGA